rnacentral:rRNA from 1 species
ACGCCUAACACAUGCAAGUCGAGCGAGGUAGCAAUACCUAGCGGCAGACGGGUGCGUAACAUGGUGGGAAUCUGCCUUUUGGUUCGGAACCAACACGGGGAAACCUGUGCUAAUACCGGAUAAGUCCUUACGGAGAAAGUUUUAAUGCCAAAAGAUGAGCCCGCAUUUGAUUAGCUAGUCGGUAAGGUAAAAGCUUACCAAGGCGACAAUCAAUAGCUGAUUUGAGAGGAUGAUCAGCCACACUGGGACUGAGAUACGGCCCAGACUCC